rnacentral:rRNA from 1 species
GACGAACGCUGGCGGCGUGCUUAACACAUGCAAGUCGAACGGAAAGGCCCUGCUUUUGUGGGGUGCUCGAGUGGCGUACGGGUGAGUAACACGUGAGUAACCUGCCCUUGACUUUGGGAUAACUUCAGGAAACUGGGGCUAAUACCGGAUAGGAGCUCCUGCUGCAUGGUGGGGGUUGGAAAGUUUCGGCGGUUGGGGAUGGACUCGCGGCUUAUCAGCUUGUUGGUGGGGUAGUGGCUUACCAAGGCUUUGACGGGUAGCCGGCCUGAGAGGGUGACCGGCCCCUUUGGGACUGAUCUCCGCCCCGCCCCCCUACGGGGGCCGCCAGUGGGAAUUUUUCCCUACUGGCCGGACCCCUGACGCCGCACCCCCGCGUGCGGGUUGCCGGCCUUCGGUUUUUACCCCUUUUCCCCCUGUGCCGAACCGUGAUUGACGUUAUUGGAUAAAGAACCCCCGCCUAACUCCGUC